rnacentral:misc_RNA from 1 species
GAUGAAGAACGUAGCGAAAUGCGAUAAGUAGUGUGAAUUGCAGAAUUCAGUGAAUCAUCGAAUCUUUGAACGCACAUUGCGCCCCUUGGUAUUCCAUGGGGCAUGCCUGUUCGAGCGUCAUUUGUACCUUCAAGCUCUGCUUGGUGUUGGGUGUCUGUCUCGCCUCUGCGUGUAGACUCGCCUCAAAACAAUUGGCAGCCGGCGUAUUGAUUUCGGAGCGCAGUACAUCUCGCGCUUUGCACUCAUAACGACGACGUCCAAAAGUACAUUUUUACACUCUUGACCUCGGAUCAGGUAGGGAUACCCGCUGAACUUAAGCAUAUCAAUAAGCGGAGGA